rnacentral:rRNA from 1 species
UACGGAGGAUGCGAGCGUUAUCCGGAUUUAUUGGGUUUAAAGGGUGCGUAGGCGGGCUGUUAAGUCAGCGGUAAAAGCCCGGGGCUCAACCCCGGCGAGCCGUUGAAACUGGCUGUCUUGAGAUGUCGAGAGGUAUGCGGAAUGCGCAGUGUAGCGGUGAAAUGCUUAGAUAUUGCGCAGAACUCCGAUUGCGAAGGCAGCAUACCGGCGGCGAUCUGACGCUGAGGCACGAAAGCGUGGGUAUCGAGCAGG